GAGCCACCGUGCCUGGCCCAAAUUGUGUGUUUCUUAACGUAAACAUUGGGAGGGAGUUUGUCCUAAUGGAAAGAGGACCAAUAUCAGAGUUGGGGUAUCUGUGCUCUACUUUUGAUCUUUUUCAAGACAUAUUAUUUUAUAUAUAUUCUGUAUCUUUUUGGAUUGUGUACUAUCUUCCUAUAGCAAUGGUCCUCAACUGUGGUGAUUUUGUCUCCUAGAGGACAAUUAGCAAUGUUUGCAGAGAUUUUUUAUUAUUACAACUGGGGGAGAAGGAAGGUGCUACUGGUAUCUUGUUUGUAGAGGCCAAGGAUGUUGUUCAACACACUAAGAUGCAUGGAUACCCUCCCAACCCCAAAGAAUUAUCUGACUCCAAAUGCCAGUAGUGAGGUUGAGAAACACUGCCCAAUUAUGGUGUGGAAAAUUGAUGUUAGAGUUGCAAGCGAAAAAGCCAGAAGAUGAGUUAGGAGAAAAUGGCCACGGUCUAGGGGAGAGAUGAUGGUGCUUUAGACUAACAUAGAGGCAAUGGAAAUAGAAAAGUAGUGAGAUCUUACAUCAAUUUUGGAGAUAAAAGUGAUCUGAUAUUGAGAGGAAUUAUGUGUGGGAAGUGAGGAUGGUGUCAAGGAUGACUGCCGAGUUGCUAUAAUGACCUUCUACGUAAAUGGAGAUAGAGUUACUGAAAUGGAGACUUCCAGAGGAAUAAUAGAUAAUACUUAAAAUGGAUCUUAUUUUAUGUAAAUUCUGGUCUAAGUAUACUAACCCAUUUAAUCCUUAUAACAACCCAGCAAGAUAAGUGCUAUUAACAUCCCCUUUUUAUAAAUGAGAAUAAAGAGGCACAGACAGGUCAAGUAACUUGCUCAGGAUCACCAGCCAGUAGUAAGUGGGUUUUGAAUGCAUAAAGUCAAAUUCCAGAGUCUAUAUUCUUAACCACUACAUGAAUCCACCUUUUGGAAGAACAGAUCUAGAGAGAAAGAUCACAUCUCUUUCCAUGACUUCAUAUCCUUCAAUCCUAAGAUCAGAGUGCAUGGUCAAUCACUUUAAUAUUUUCCUGUGUAUUUUAACAUUUUCCUUGUGAAUAUUCCCAUUGUAUUCACAAGGAAACCCUCCCUCCCCCCAACUUGAACCAGUAAUUUUCCUGCUCUCAUACCAAGGUGCUGAACAUUGCUGGAGAAGUCCACAGAGCUUUGGCCACUGUUAUAAUUAUGAAGUCAUGAGCACACCUGUCCAUGGAACUCUCCAUAGCAGAUCAUUCUUCUAUUUCUCAAGAGCAUGUUCUGUCACACUUUCCACACUGCCUUCCCCAAAUUCACUCUGCUCAAGUCCCCCACUCCAUCCUCGUGCCUCCACACAGUCUGUAGAUAAUGCUGUACUUUAUUUCAUCACGAAAAUACAAGCACUGAGUUGAUACUGCUUCAUCCUCUGAACACUCCCUACCUAUAAACCAAUCUAUAUUCCCAUCCAUAGCUUCUUUCAUUCCCAAAUUAGUGAAAAAGGUAUCUUUCUUCCCAAGUAAGGUAAAUCCGUCCCUCAUCUUGUGCUCAGGAUUCCUUCUCAUUCGGCCUCCCCAUGGAUCAUUCUAACACUGUCUCAACUCUUCAAUUUCUCUGACUUGUUCUACACCUGCCCAGCACUUAAAGGAAAUAAUUUUUACAAUCACAAGGAGGAACAAGCCAGAGGCACUCUUGCCCUUAACAUAGGUCUACUCUGAUGUUGUAUUUUCCCCAUCCCCCAGUAUCUGGCCAAAUGAAUACAUGCAGGAGAUGAAAUAUGGAGAAAGAACAAAAGGACUAAUUCCACUUGUGAGAGAUGAAGGAACAGGAGCACUCUCAUGUUUCUUAGCCAGCAAAAAGAAACAUUAGAAGACAAGGACCAAGUGAAGGAGCCAGAGAAACAAGGUGCCCAUAUAAUAUAUAAUAUCAACAUUCAACCCUCGAGUACCUGAAUGUUGUAUCGCACUGCUGGACAAAGCACCAGAGCAGGCAUUGUCCUCUGGUACCAGGAACCAUCCAGUUUAUUACCAGCCUUUUGUUGGUAGCUCUUUUGCCCCAGAUAAUGUCCUAUUUGAUUUUGUCUUGACUAAGCACCUGCCUGUACCUACUGCCUUGUAAGAAACAAAAUCUGAAAGAAGGAAAAAGAAACAUGGUAGGAGCAUAAUAGCUGGCUGUUUAUUCACUGAAGGAGCAUUUAUAGAUCUUCUUUCUAUUUAGGACCCAGAAUGCACCAAAUACCACGAGUGGGACUUUUGUAGGGACCAGGUAUAAUCUUUCCUCUCAACAAUGGGUUACAGAUAUAUAAACAAACAUUCAUGCAAAGGAUUAUUUUAGGUGCUAUGAUAGAAAUCUUAAUUAGAUAUUGUGGGGAUAGAAAAGAAAGAGUUUAAUUUUGCAAGGAUGACCAAGAAAGGCAUAGAGUUGCUAAGCCUGGUUCCAUUUUGAAAGGCAGAGGUGGAGAAGGAUAUGUCCAUAUAGGGAAUGGCAAGAGCAGAGGGGCAGGGGCAUGACCCAGCCUGGAGAGGCUGCAGGUCUAAAUAUAGGCUACAGGGAUGGGCACAGGAAAAAUACUAAAGGUAUGUUUAAACCGUGUUUAAAACAUUGCGGAAUUUACCUCUUAGUGAAGCUAUGGCAGGCUUUUAAGCAAUGGGGUUCAGUGGGCAAAUUUACAUUCUAAAGAGAUCAUUCUAUCGUAUGAAACCUGCAUGAUUUGAGAAGGUUUCAAUGCACUGACAAGGAGUCUAGUGAAGAGAGAGCUGCAGUAGUCCAGGUGAGAACAAAGUCCACAUUGACAUGAAAAAGUGGAGAAAGUGGCAUGUCUAUGUGAUGAUGGAUUAGUUUUCUAUCAUGGCAUAACAAAACAUCACAAACUUGGUGACUUAAAACGGCACCCAUUUGUUAGCUCACAAUUCUGUAGUUCAGAAGACUGGGCCUGCUGUGGGUAUGUUCUCUGGACAGUGUCUCACAAAGUUGAAACCAAAGCGUCAGCUAGAGCUAUAGCUCUCAUCUGGGGCCAGAGGUCCACUUCCAACCUCAUUCAGGCUGUUGGCAGAAUUUAUUUUCUUGCAGUUGUAGGACUGCAGUCACAAUUUUCCUAGUAGCUGUCCCACGGUAGCCACUCUAAGCUGCUAGAAGCUGUCCCUCUCCAUCUAGAGUUCUCGACAUGGAUCUUCAUUUUCUUUUAGAGCUAUACUUCAUAGCUCUUCAUUUUCUUCAUGUUGGCUGGAUUGCAUCUCUCUGAUUUCCCUUUCUGUGACCAGCCUGAAUAAACUCUCUUCUUUUAAAGGACUUGGAUGUUUAGAUUACCCAGAUAACCUCUUUCCUUAAAGUUAUCUAUAUGAUAUUACCUAACCUAAUAUCAGGAGUAAAAUUAUUCAUAUUCACAGUCCCAGGGAUUAUGCAUGGUGUGUACAUGGCAGGAAAUCUUAGGAAGGGUCCUCUUAGAAUUCUGCCCCCCACAAAUGGUACAAAACAACAAUAACAAGAGUAAAAAGUAGACUAGAUAGACACUGUUUCCAAUUGCAUGAAGGAAGAAGAAAGAGGAAAAGACUCAGUGAUUUUUUUUGGCUGGGUGGUAUAAUUACCAGGGUAAGGAGGAUGAAAGGACAAAGGGGCUGGGAUUCUACUUUGGGCUUGGUGAGGUUGACGUGUCUGUGAGCUAUGCAGUUAGUCCAGGAGACAGUAGGAUUAGGAAUACAGGAAAAUAGUUGGGAAAGAAAUACAAGAUUUUUAGUUAGUAGCAGAUAGAUGCUAGGAACACCAUGGGACUGGAUAAAAUGGGUUUUAUUUUAAUUGUGUAAACUUCUCUGCAUUCCUAAACUAUAUGUUCCUUGAUGGCAGAUCUAUGUGUUUCCAUUUCUGUAUGUUGGGUGCCUUCCAUAUAGUAUGUGCUCAGGAAUGUUAUGGAUGGAUGAAUUGUUGAGAUUAUGCAGGUAAAACAUUCUAAGUAAAAAGUUAAGGGCUGAGAACAGAACCCUGGGCAAUGUCAGCAUUUAUGGAAUGAGCAAAGGAUGAAGAGUCCAUGAAGGGGGAAAAGUCAGGUGGAAAAUCAGAAGAGAGCAGUGCCUGCAAAAGACAGGAGGAGAGUCUCAAGAGGAAAAGCUACCAUGAAAACAAUACUGAACAUUUUACUGAACAAUUACUCUCUGCCAAGUAACGUGUGUGAAGUUUACUUAAUCCUCAAAAUAAUCCCAUGGUGUAGGAACUCUUUUUAUACAGAAGAGGAAGCUGGGGCCCAGAGACGUAAAAUUUUUCCUGGAUCACACUACUGGUCAACAAGAGAGAUGAACUCUAAGUCCUGGACACAUGACCCCAGAGCCGAAGCUCUUAAACACUAAAUUACACAGGUGUUCUACCCCUUCUCCCUUCUUGCUGAAGAGAAAAAACUCCUAACCAGGACAAACAGAAAACCCAGUGGAAGAAAUAGCAUUUGGCCCUUGAUAGAUGGGCUGUACUUUAGCAACGGAGCUGGAGGAAGCCCAGGUAGGUUUGCCAGAUUUAGCAAAUAAAAAUACAGGACACACAGUUAAAUCUGAAUUUCAGAUUAAGAUUUUUUCUUAGUAUAAAUAUGUCCCCAUUAUAUAGCAUGCUCCAAUCAGGCUAGAAUUUUUACUCUCCCUUUUUACUUCUACGCUUCAUAGCUCAUGCUCUUCAUCUCUACGGCACACUGUACCCUUUCUUUUUGCCAGUCUUAAUGUUACCCAUCCUCGAAGCCCCAUCCAUAUUAACUGUCAUUUGCCCAGCAUUCCUACCUAAAAAAUACAUUCAUAUGGAUGACCUCAUUUGAUUUACAAAGCACUCUUGCAAGUAAACAUGGUAUGCAUUAUUAACCCCUUGUGCAGAUGAGA